GAUUUACAAGAUCUGAGAGGAGACCUGGGAGCAUCGUGCCUCAGCGGAGUAACUUAGAUAAUCACCGUAGCUUCGUGGCUGAAUAACUCCACUCGCUGCGCAUCGGGUCGGUUAAACCUGCCAGCAGAAGAGGACAACCUAAAGAACACUGAGAGGAGGAGGAGGCCUGGGAGAGGCAUCGGGCCCCAGCGGAGCAACCUUGGGGUAAAUAUAAUUUUUUAUUUAUAUGAAUUUAAUAAUCUUUCUCCCUUUUAUUCGAUCUUAUCGCGAUAAAUUAAAAAAAAGUUAUUUAA